CCAGCUCCAGGAGGCCCUGGACAGCGCUCAUUCCGGAACUGUGGAACAGGAGUCGGGGAGGCCAGGCAGCCCGGCCUGGCCCGUCCGCGGACAACAGAGGCCCCGUAGCCCGGCCCCACUCCUGGCGGGCUACAGAGCGCUGGGAGCGCACAGAGUGGGGGAGCUGUCCAGUUCAGCACCACGGCGACGCAGUAGGUGGGCGCUCCUGCUCCGAGAGCUGUCCAGUCCAGCACCGCGGCGAUGCUGUAGGUGAGAGCGCCCUGUCUCGGGGAGCUGUCCAGUUCAGCACCACGGCGAUGCAGUAAGUGGAAGAGCCAGGCCGGGGUGAGCUGUCCGUUUCAGCACCACGGCGAUGCUGUAGCUGGGAGCGCCUGGCCCGGGGCUGCGCGGCCG
rnacentral:lncRNA from 1 species